rnacentral:rRNA from 1 species
CCUACGGGAGGCUGCAGUGGGGAAUAUUGGGCAAUGGGCGCAAGCCUGACCCAGCAACGCCGCGUGAAGGAAGAAGGCUUUCGGGGUGUAAACUUCUUUUAAGAGGGAAGAGCAGAAGACGGUACCUCUGGAAUAAGCCAUGGCUAACGACGGGCCAGCAGCCGCGGUAAUCCGUAGGUGGCAAGCGUUGUCCGGAUUUACGGGGUGGAAAGGGCGUGCAGCCGGGAAGUGAAGUCAGAUGUGAAAGCCCGCGGCUCAACCUCGGAACUGCAUUUGAAACUGUUUUUCUUGAGUACCGGAGAGGUCAUCGGAAUUCCUUUUGUAGCGGUGAAAUGCGUAGAUAUAAGGAAGAACACCAGUGGCGAAGGCGGCUGAUUGGACGGCAACUGACGGUGAGGCGCGAAAGCGUGGGGAGCAAACAGGAUUAGAUACCCCGGUAGUC